ensembl:lncRNA
CUCUGCCUCUGUUUCCUUCCCCUGCAUCCCUUCCCAGCCCUCCCUGCAGCUCCUCUGGGCCCCCCAGCCCGGCUUUGCUGUGGGUUGGCCAGCUGUGGGCAGCCAGCACAGCCAUGCAGCUGCUUCCCUGUGGAGACAGCAGGGCAAGCAGGAUGAUGCCCUCAGCUGGGAUGUGAGGGACUGGCUGCCCUCCUCCAGUGGCCUGGGCUUGCUGAGGUGAUUUGGCUGCACAAUGUGAGGGCUUAAGGGCCAUCCUGGCUGCCUCUAGCCCGCUCCAAGCCUUGCACCCUAGUAUGGGAUGGAGAGAGCUGCUUUCACAACCUGGACGUGUUGUCACUCGCUUCCAGACAUUUCCUGUUAUCUAACCUCAGCCUUAUCUUCCCCAUUUGCAGCUUCCUCUUGAAGGAGGAGCGGCCCCUUCAAAACUGAGCUGUGUGCCCCGGCUGUGCCCUGCAGCCAAGCCAGCCCCACACCGCUGCCCCUUCCUGGCAGGCCUGGUGGUGCAGCACGAUCCAGGCUGUCCGAUGAAGGUUCUCCGACACCUCCAGCAAGCACGGCAGAGCAGCUGGGGCAGGGGCCGGAGAUCACAGGACAGCACUCCAGUGAGGAGAUGGGGACAGCCUGGUGAGAGCUGCAGUGCAGCACUGCGUGUAUUUGACAAGCUGAGUUCGACACUCAGUCUGGCAGAGUGUCAGUUUGUCAAAUACCCCAAGUGAGGCACUUGCUGAGCAACAUGGCAGCACGCUGAAGGGAUGGACUCCUUCGCAUCCAUAUUCUGCUCCUCUGUAAGCCCAGUGAGGAAUGCCCUGGAGUGGGUUGAAGUACAGGUGACAGAUCACACAUCCCACAACAAAGCCUACACCCCACUAGACUGGGCUCACAGUGAGUGGUGUUCGUGUGGGACCACUGUGGAGCUGGUGCUCAGCUCAAGAAUUGAUGCUUCCAACAGACUCACUGACAUGAGAGUUCUUCCAUCCCUUCCAGGCCUCAGUCUGCUGUCAGCACUGUUCAGAGUAUUGCUGUAUCUUACCGUGCUCACACUGCAGUACCAGGUGACUGCAGGUUAGUGAAUGUGUGCGUGGAAGAGCACCAUGACCCUCACAAGAACAUGAUGGGAUGUGGUGAGGACUGAAGUAAUGGGAGGAGUCUGGUAUGGGAUGACUUGAUGCCUCUCACCUGUCUUCUCUAAAAAGUAAACCCAAGUCAAACUUCCAAGUCACAGAAUCACAGAAUCCUUAGAGUUGGAAGGGACCUUUAAUGGUCAUCUAGUCCAAAUCCUCUGCAAUGGACAGGAGAUCAGCUAGAUCAGGUUGCCCAGGGCCUGAACCAGCCUCACCUUGAAAGCCUCUAGGGACAGUGCAUCCACCACGUCUCUGUGCAACAUGAUCCAGUGCCUCACCACCCUCACUGGAAAAGACUUUUUCCAUAUAUCCAGCCUAAAUCUCCCCUCUAUAUGCUUGAAGCCAUUUCCCAUUGUUCUAUCACAACAGACCCUACUAAAGAGACUGUCCCCUUCUUUCCUGCAGCUCCCCUUUAGACAUUGACAGGCCGCUAUCUCUAGGCUGCACAGCCCCAGCUCUCUGCCUGUCCUCGUAGGAGAGGUGUUCCAUCCCUGGGAUCCUUUUUGUGGCCCUCCUCUGGACACUCUCCAACAGGUCUGUGUCCUUCCUGUACUGAGGACUCCACAUCUGGAUGCAGUGCUCCAGGUGUGUCCUCACCAGUGCAGAGCAGAGGGGCAGAAUCACCUCCCUCGCCCUGCUGGCCACGCUUCUUUUGAUGUAGCCCAGAAUAUGGUUGGCUUUCUGGUCUGUGAGGCACAUUGCUCACUCAUGUCCAGCUUCCCAUCCACCAGUACGCCCAGGUCUUUUUCAGCAAGGCUGUGCUCAAUCCUUUCAUACCCCAGUUUGUAUUGGUAGUGAGGGUUGCCUCAGCCCAGGUGCAAGAUCUUGCAUUUGGAUUUGUUGAACCUCAUGAGGUUCAGCUGGGCCCACUGCUCAGCCUGUCUAGAUCCCUCUGGUGUAUCAACCACACACCCACAGCUCGGUGUCAUCAGCAAACUUGCCGAGGGUGCACUUGACACCACUGUCAAUGUCACUGAUGAAGAUAUUAAAGAGUAUUGGCCCCAGCACCAACCCCUGGGGACACCGCUCAUCACUGAUCUCCAUCCUGACAUGGAGCCAUUGAUAAACACUCUCUGGACUUGAUGCUACAGUCAGUUCUUCAUCCAUUGAACAGUCCAUCCAUCAAAUCCAUAUCUUUCCCAUUUGGAGAGAAGAAUGUUGUGGGGUACCGUGUCAAAGGCCAAAAGUCAAACUGUGGCCAUGUCUGGUCUGUACCCCUACGCAUUCUUCAGAACUGAACCACAAGACAGAGCAAAAGCACAAAUUUGUAAGCAACAGAAACAUGAGGCACUGCGUGGUGAAACACCAAGAAAGCCAGCAUACAUACACCACAGAUGCUUUUGAAGCAUUUCAUAUUUGCCUGGGAUAUAAAUCACAUUGCACACAUCAAGCACUUUUCAAGGCACUUUACAAACAUAAAAGCUCACAGCAUCCUCAUUAGAUAGAUGAGCAUGAACAUCACAGUUGUAACCAGACAGAUUUAGUUGUGUCCCAUACAGUGAGCCAGUGUCAGUCUGUUGGAUCCAGGGAGAUCCCUUACUCAGUCACUAUUCCAAAUGCCUCAAAUUUAUCUCUGCAAUGCUUCUUUUUUAUCAUGCUUCUGGUUUCCACACCGUAAAAUAAACUGCUAGCAAUCCCUUCA